UUCAGUAAGCAAUAUAUAAAUCCUGCCUGCAGCUGCAAAAGGGCUCCUGUCUUCAGUACCCACUUCAUUUAUUUGAAAACAAAGCAAAGAACCUCGCUCAACAGCUUUUACAGGUUGAAACUGGGUCUGGAAAAGCUCAUUUGCAUUCCUGCAGCAAGGCCCGGAGAAUAAACCGAGCAAACGUGUCUAUUUGUGUACUUCAAUAUAUGACUGUGCUUGCUUCAAUCAAGACUUAUUUUCAGUAUCAUGGCCAACAAAAGCAUUAAACGAGU
rnacentral:lncRNA from 1 species